GGCAGCAGUGGGGAAUAUUGGACAAUGGGGGCAACCCUGAUCCAGCAAUUCUGUGUGCACGAAGAAGGUUUUCGGAUUGUAAAGUGCUUUCAGCAGGGAAGAAGAAAGUGACGGUACCUGCAGAAGAAGCGACGGCUAAAUACGUGCCAGCAGCCGCGGUAAUACGUAUGUCGCAAGCGUUAUCCGGAAUUAUUGGGCAUAAAGGGCAUCUAGGCGGCCAGACAAGUCUGGGGUGAAAACUUGCGGCUCAACCGCAAGCCUGCCCUGGAAACUGUGUGGCUAGAGUGCUGGAGAGGUGGACGGAACUGCACGAGUAGAGGUGAAAUUCGUAGAUAUGUGCAGGAAUGCCGAUGAUGAAGAUAGUUCACUGGACGGUAACUGACGCUGAAGUGCGAAAGCUGGGGGAGCAAACAGGAUUAGAUACCCUGGUAGUCCCAGCCGUAAACGAUGAUUACUGGGUGUGGGCAUGAAGAGUGUCCGUGCCGAAGCUAAUGCGAUAAGUAAUCCGCCUGGGGAGUACGGCCGCAAGGCUGAAACUCAAAUGAAUUGACGG
rnacentral:rRNA from 1 species